UACGAAGGGGGCUAGCGUUGUUCGGAAUUACUGGGCGUAAAGGGCACGUAGGCGGAUUUGUAAGUCAGGGGUGAAAUCCCGGGGCUCAACCUCGGAACUGCCUUUGAUACUGCAAGUCUCGAGUCCGGAAGAGGUGAGUGGAAUUCCUAGUGUAGAGGUGAAAUUCGUAGAUAUUAGGAAGAACACCAGUGGCGAAGGCGGCUAGCUGGUCCGUUACUGACGCUGAGGCGCGACAGCGUGGGGAGCAAACAGG
rnacentral:rRNA from 1 species